rnacentral:rRNA from 1 species
UACGGAGGGAGCUAGCGUUAUUCGGAAUUACUGGGCGUAAAGCGUACGUAGGCGGCUUUGCAAGUUAGAGGUGAAAGCCUGGAGCUCAACUCCAGAACUGCCUUUAAAACUGCAUCGCUUGAAUCCAGGAGAGGUGAGUGGAAUUCCGAGUGUAGAGGUGAAAUUCGUAGAUAUUCGGAAGAACACCAGUGGCGAAGGCGGCUCACUGGACUGGUAUUGACGCUGAGGUACGAAAGCGUGGGGGAGCAAACAGG